rnacentral:lncRNA from 1 species
CCCUGCUCCAGCCUUACCCCGCGCCUCCAGCGGCUGGAGGAACAGUGAGGAGCUGAGCACAGGGAGAAGAGAAGAAAAUGAACAAAUUUGAAGGAAAACAAAAUAAAGAUCUCCUGUUUCUAACCACAUAUUCAGCAGAAAUGAGAAUUAAGAAGUCAAAUUGGAGCAGUGGACGGACCAC